rnacentral:ribozyme from 17 species
CGCUUCUUCUUUUUCUUCUUUUUCUUCUUGUUUUGGCUCCUUAUUUCCGAAAUUAGAAGCAGAUAGAGUAAGAUAAGAGAGAAGGUAGAU